rnacentral:lncRNA from 1 species
UAGUUUGAUGACAAUGAUAGUGAUGAUGAUUGAUGAUAGUAUAGGUGAUGUGCUGUGAAUUAGCAAUCUUGAGAUAAAUUUAUAUUUGCUUGGAAGCUUAGUUAUAGAUUUCAAUGACUUUGAAGCCGAUAUUUUUGUAGUUGAAUUCGUCAAAGUACUGUUGAUUGUGAAAUAAACGUGUUGGGAGUUUACUUGACCCAAGCUGUGGUGGGUGUUGUGAGGUUGGGCUGUUUUUUAAUUGAAUUCAAUAUUUCGGCUGAUAUUUGACAAUUUUUACUAUUUUAAAAGCUAUUUUAACAGAAUUAAAGAUUUUUGAAGAAGUUAUAGUUCAGGUUUUUGAGAUUUCUAUCAUUGCGUUUUUGAAUGUAGGUACUUCGUGUGGAAAAUACCAAAAUAGGGGUGAGUCUCGAACCCAAAACCGCCCUUACUUCUCCUUUGUUAUUCGUCUUCAAAUUUCAAAUUUGACCAGUUUGUGUUGUGUUGAAGCCAGUCGACUUGUUGAAUGUUGUCGGAUGAAUGGAUAAAUUUAGUCGUUAUUAAGUGAUUUUAUUUUAUCAAUUACAGUGUAUCUACAAUAUUAUUCGCGUGCUAAAAUGUGUUGAGUAGUAGGCCUAUAGUUUAGUUUGCAGUUUAAUAUUUACUUGGAUUUUGAAAUUAUAAACGGUGACUGAACGUUUAAAAGCACUCAUUGUUCAAGGAAUGAAGAGAUCAGUUUGGUUGUGGUGAGGACAUGGAAUGUUGGAGUUUGCAGCUUGGCAUACUGAUUCACUCCUGUCAUGGACCACAGCUUUCAAGUAUGGCUCUUGACAGUGGACAAAACGGACUUCGCAGCCACAGAACAACAUGAGUCUCUUCUCUUCUGCUUCUGCUACAACGUCAUCUUCUUCUUCUGCUACUACUGAUACAGCUACUGUUACUGCUUCUACUGAUACUGCUACUGCUGCUACUGUUGCUGAUGCUUCUUCUGUGCUGAGAAAUCCACACUUUUGGACCUUAGUAGCUGAUUGCUGAUAAUUGCAGUAAUAAGGUGUUACAUCUGUGAGUUCACUUAGAUUAUGAUGAUUAUCUUUUUCUGCUCCUUUUUUUUCUUCUUAUUACUAACAAAUUUUGUAUUGAUAUAGGGUGAUUGUUUAUUGCAUUGUUAUAGCCAAUAUUAGUUUCAUUUAGUAGACUAUAAUAAUAUGAAAUCUUUCACAUGACAUUCAAAAAUUUGGAGGAUUCAAAGCAAGAAUUUUUCUCUCUUAUUCAUGAAAUGGAGGUGCAAUAUUCAAGCAUAGACAUUUAGUAAUAGAAAAAAGUCGGUGGAGUUAUGCAGAGCUUGAGGUACGUUUAGACGUGUAAACAAUUGUAGAUUAAUUUGUAUGAGAUUUAAGGGUGAUUAUAGAAAGAUUGGAAUCGAAUAUAUUUCAGCUCAUAGAAAAUGAUUGAAUAAGGAGAUUGAUCAUAAUUGUGAUUUUGACAUGUAUCUCAUGCAAAUGUAUUUUAUAUUUGUAUACAAGUCUUGACGUACCUUGAAAUGUAUAAUUGGAGAAGUGGAGCUGUGCAUGUAUACUAAGGUAGGUGAUCACCUCAUCGUGGAACACAUGCCGCCGAUUUUCCAGAUCUCCGAAUCACCGCCACCUGCCUAUUUAUCUAUUAACUAUAUUACAACGAAACAGUCUACAACUAUUGGACCAGAGAUACAUAGACAUUAGACAAAGUUUUAUGCAGAACAAUAUUGUUAGGUAGUUGAGACCUUUACACGAAUGUACAAAUUUACAAAAUUAUUAUAAUGAGGUCCUCGUUAUAAUGGUAGUAUUUGAUUAACAUUGGUGUUGCUAACCUUGUCUAUCAUUCGACAAAGCAGAUAGUGCCAUCCUUUUCUAGCUCUGCAAC